CUGAAGGGGGUCCUCAUGUAGGGGGCGCCAGCCCCUGAGGGCUGUGGCAGCAGCACCGCAUCUGGCUGGUAGACAGCAGGGUU
rnacentral:SRP_RNA from 12 species